rnacentral:tRNA from 1 species
GUCCCUGUAGCGCAAUGGAUAGCGCGUCGGACUCCUAAUCCAAAGGUCGUGGGUUCGAAUCCCACCUGGGGUG